UAGGGAAUCUUCGGCAAUGGACGAAAGUCUGACCGAGCAACGCCGCGUGAGUGAAGAAGGUUUUCGGAUCGUAAAACUCUGUUGUUAGAGAAGAACAAGGACGUUAGUAACUGAACGUCCCCUGACGGUAUCUAACCAGAAAGCCACGGCUAACUACGUGCCAGCAGCCGCGGUAAUACGUAGGUGGCAAGCGUUGUCCGGAUUUAUUGGGCGUAAAGCGAGCGCAGGCGGUUUCUUAAGUCUGAUGUGAAAGCCCCCGGCUCAACCGGGGAGGGUCAUUGGAAGCUGGGGGACUUGAGUGCAGAAGAGGAGAGUGGAAUUCCAUGUGUAGCGGUGAAAUGCAUAGAUAUAUGGAGGAACACCAGUGGCGAAGGCGGCUCUCUGGUCUGUAACUGACGCUGAGGCUAGAAAGCGUGGGGAGCAAACAGG
rnacentral:rRNA from 1 species